rnacentral:rRNA from 1 species
GCCCGUAAUAAGCCCAAACUUUACCCCAAAAUUAUCUAACCACCACCCAAAACAUUUGACUUGGACAGUAGAUGCGAUCGAAACCCGCCCUAAUCGACGCUAUAAAAACAGUACUGUGAAGGAAAAAUGAAAAAUAGUGAAACCGUUAGCAUAACUAAGCAGGGAUUAAAGCUCGUACCUUUUGCAUCAUGAUUUAGCAAGAAAACAAGGCAAGAUGACCCGCAGCCUUCUGCCCCGAACACAAGUGAUCUACUUCAUGGCAGUUGAACCGAACUAACUCGUCUCUGUGGCAAUAGAGUGAGAAGACCAAGAAGUAGCGGCCAAAAACCAAACGAACUUGUCGAUAGCUGGUUAUCCGACAAAUGAAUUUAAGUUCAAACCAGACAACACAUCCUACCACAUGAAAAACCUUUUUGCCUGGAGAUAGCCAAUGGGGGCACAGCUCCAUUGGCACUGGAUACAGCCAAAAAUAGUGAGAAACACCACAUCCAUUAAACCUGUAGGCUUUUAAACAGCCACCAAUAAAUAUCGCGUCACAGUAAAUAAACUAAAAAUACCAUUAAAAACCUAGUUCUCCUACUAACCAACCGGAUAAUUCUACAAAAAUGUAGAAGAACUAAUGCUAAAAUGAGUAAUUUGAAUUUUUCUUUCUACAGACAGAACUUUAAGUAACUACUACACCCAACAGACCAAAAAAGAACAUGAUACCUAACUUACAACACAUUAAACACACUGUUAACCCAACAUAGGACUGUCAUCUAUUACAGGCUAAAAACCUUAGAAGGAACUCGGCAAACCCUUUCUCCAACUGUUUACCAAAAACAUAGCUUCUAGCCAAACCAGUAUUAGAAGUAACGCCUGCCCUGUGGAACCCUAAACGGCCGCGGUACAAACCGUGCAAAGGUAGCACAAUCACUUGUCCCUUAAAUGAGGACCCGUAUGAAAGGCAACAUGAGAGAACACCUGUCUCCUAAGGUCAGCCAGUGAAAUUGAUCCAUCAGUACAAAAGCUGAUAUAAUUUAGCAAGACAAAAAGACCCUAUGGAACUUUAACAAAUUACUUACACCAAAUAAGCAAUAGUUUCAGUUGGGAUAACUUUAGAAAAAAUAAACUUCUAACACCUCCAAGACCAACAAGUCUAACUACACUACUAUACGACCCAGUAAUACUGAUUAACGAAACAAGCUACCCUAGGGAUAACAGCGCUACCUUCUCAAAGAGUCCAUAUCAACAAGAAGAUCUACGACCUCGAUGUUGGAUCAGGGUACCCAGACGGUGCAGCAGCUGUCAACGGUUCGUUUGUUCAACGACUAACACCCUACGUGAUCUGAGUUCAGACCGGAGUAAUCCAGGUCGGCCUUUAUCUGCUCUAAGUCUUUGCCAGUACGAAAGGACCGCUAAGACAAGAUCAAUGCUAAUAAUACAUCUUUAAAAAAUACUGCACAAAACUCAACUACAAAAACACAUAAGACCCAAAAAAAGGGCAUACCAGGAUUCUGGUGCCAU